CGUAGGUGGCAAGCGUUGUCCGGAAUUAUUGGGCGUAAAGCGCGCGCAGGCGGGAAUCUAAGUCUAUCUUAAAAGUGCGGGGCUCAACCCCGUGAUGGGAUAGAAACUGGGUUUCUUGAGUGUCGGAGAGGACAGUGGAAUUCCCAGUGUAGCGGUGAAAUGCGUAGAUAUUGGGAGGAACACCAGUGGCGAAGGCGACUGUCUGGACGAUGUCUGACGCUGAGGCGCGAAAGCCAGGGAAGUGAACGGGAUUAGAUACCCCGGUAAUCCUGGCCGUAAACGAUGGGUACUAGGUGUUGGGGGUAUCGACCCCUCCAGUGCCGGAGUUAACGCAAUAAGUACCCCGCCUGGGGAGUACGGCCGCAAGGUUG
rnacentral:rRNA from 1 species